rnacentral:rRNA from 1 species
GCAAGUCGAGCGGACAGAUGGGAGCUUGCUCCCUGAUGUUAGCGGCGGACGGGUGAGUAACACGUGGGUAACCUGCCUGUAAGACUGGGAUAACUCCGGGAAACCGGGGCUAAUACCGGAUGGUUGUUUGAACCGCAUGGUUCAAACAUAAAAGGUGGCUUCGGCUACCACUUACAGAUGGACCCGCGGCGCAUUAGCUAGUUGGUGAGGUAACGGCUCACCAAGGCAACGAUGCGUAGCCGACCUGAGAGGGUGAUCGGCCACACUGGGACUGAGACACGGCCCAGACUCCUACGGGAGGCAGCAGUAGGGAAUCUUCCGCAAUGGACGAAAGUCUGACGGAGCAACGCCGCGUGAGUGAUGAAGGUUUUCGGAUCGUAAAGCUCUGUUGUUAGGGAAGAACAAGUACCGUUCGAAUAGGGCGGUACCUUGACGGUACCUAACCAGAAAGCCACGGCUAACUACGUGCCAGCAGCCGCGGUAAUACGUAGGUGGCAAGCGUUGUCCGGAAUUAUUGGGCGUAAAGGGCUCGCAGGCGGUUUCUUAAGUCUGAUGUGAAAGCCCCCGGCUCAACCGGGGAGGGUCAUUGGAAACUGGGGAACUUGAGUGCAGAAGAGGAGAGUGGAAUUCCACGUGUAGCGGUGAAAUGCGUAGAGAUGUGGAGGAACACCAGUGGCGAAGGCGACUCUCUGGUCUGUAACUGACGCUGAGGAGCGAAAGCGUGGGGAGCGAACAGGAUUAGAUACCCUGGUAGUCCACGCCGUAAACGAUGAGUGCUAAGUGUUAGGGGUUUCCGCCCCUUAGUGCUGCAGCUAACGCAUAAG